rnacentral:lncRNA from 1 species
UCGCAGAUCAAAUUUAUUUGUUUAUAGUGUAUUAAUGUACGUUUUUUGAUUGAGUUAAGCCUGCAAAUUGAUAUUUUACCGUGUGUUUUUCUAUGUUGUGAUGUUAUGCUAUUGUUUCAGAAAAAGGGAGAAGGUUUGGAUCCAUUAAAACGUUAAUCCCGCUGCAAAUGUUUGCACCUGUCUAAGUCAGGAAUCUGAUGUACAGUAGUUGUCGUUUGUUUAUGUAAUUUAUACGUGUUUCUCGUUUCUCGUUUCUCGGUUUUUUUUU